AACGAACACUGGCGGCAGGCCUAACACAUGCAAGUCGAACGCUCCAGCAAUGGAGAGUGGCAGACGGGUGAGUAACACGUGGGAACCUUCCCUACGGUCGGGAAUAGCCCAGGGAAACUUGGGGUAAUACCGGAUACGCCCUUCGGGGGAAAGAUUUAUCGCCGUUGGAUGGGCCCGCGUCGGAUUAGCUAGUUGGUGGGGUAAUGGCCUACCAAGGCGACGAUCCGUAGCUGGUCUGAGAGGAUGAUCAGCCACACUGGGACUGAGACACGGCCCAGACUCCGACGGGAGGCAGCAGUGGGGAAUAUUGGACAAUGGGCGCAAGCCUGAUCCAGCCAUGCCGCGUGAGUGACGAAGGCCUUAGGGUUGUAAAGCUCUUUUGGCGGGGAAGAUAAUGACGGUACCCGCAGAAUAAGCUCCGGCUAACUUCGUGCCAGCCGCCGCCGUAACAC
rnacentral:rRNA from 1 species